UACGUAGGGUGCAAGCGUUAAUCGGAAUUACUGGGCGUAAAGCGUGCGCAGGCGGCUUUGCAAGACAGAUGUGAAAUCCCCGGGCUUAACCUGGGAACUGCAUUUGUGACUGCAUGGCUGGAGUGUGGCAGAGGGGGAUGGAAUUCCGCGUGUAGCAGUGAAAUGCGUAGAUAUGCGGAGGAACACCGAUGGCGAAGGCAAUCCCCUGGGCCUGCACUGACGCUCAUGCACGAAAGCGUGGGGAGCAACAGG
rnacentral:rRNA from 1 species